rnacentral:lncRNA from 1 species
AAAACAAAGAUAAUUGUACAUUUCUGACAUAUGACUAUAUGAGACAAUAAUCUAAAGGUAGUUGUGUCAGGCUUCUCGUCAGAUUCUAAAUGUUGGCUCCUUUGCUCCUUCAAGCCAUGUCGUUUAACAAACAAUACCUUCUGAUGCUUCCCAAAGGUCUCCUCACUGUCCUCACUCCCCACCAUGAAAUUUGGCCCCAGUAUUCUUUUGGCCAGAACAUAUUGAUGCACCCCACUAGUCUUAUAAGAAGU